rnacentral:tRNA from 1 species
GUGGGCGUAGCUCAACUGGUUAGAGCGUCGGUUUGUGGAGCCGAAGGCUGCGAGUUCAAGUCUCGUCGUCCACCCCA